rnacentral:tRNA from 1 species
GGGGGUGUAGCUCAGUGGGAGAGCGUCUCGUUCGCAACGAGAAGGUCGCCGGUUCAAAUCCGGUCACCUCCA